CCUACGGGUGGCAGCAGUGGGGGAUAUUGCACAAUGGGGGGAACCCUGAUCCAGCGACGCCGCGUGAGUGAAGAAGUAUCUCGGUAUGUAAAGCCCUAUCAGCAGGGAAGAAGAAAUGGCGGUACCUGAGUAAGAAGCCCCGGCUAACUACGCGCCAGCAGCCGCGGUAAUACGUAGGGGGCAAGCGUUAUCCGGAAUCACUGGGUGUAAAGGGAGCGUAGACGGUAAUGAAAGUCUGGAGUGAAAGGCGGGGGCCCAACCCCCGGACUGCUCUGGAAACUAUGUGUCUGGAGUGCAGGAGAGGUGAGUGGAAUUCCUAGUGUAGCGGUGAAAUGCGUAGAUAUUAGGAGGAACACCAGUUGCGAAGGCGACUCUCUGGACUGUAACUGACACUGAGGCACGAAAGCGUGGGGAGCAAACAGGAUUAGAUACCCCUGUAGUC
rnacentral:rRNA from 1 species